UCAUUUAAUUUUGCGGAAGAUCAGUUCUCUUAUUUGUAACAGGGGAGGGGGUGGUGAUGGUAGGAUUGGAUAUAGGUCUUCAGUCUAUAAACUGAUAGAAAGUUUAUAAAAGACAAAAUAAAGCAACAAAGAAUAAGAAACAAAGCAUCAAUCGUUUCAGUUCACAUUUUAUUUUCUUUACAUCAAUUCUUGGAUCACCCAUAGGAGGCAGAAGCUGUUUUUGACCCUUUUACUUUUAGUUGAGAGCUGAUUCUUAUCUCAGCCUGUAGGCCCUUGAGAAGCCUCAGAAUUUCAGCUUAAGGUAGUGAUGGAGGGACGACAUUCCUUCUAAAUUACAGGCACACAGAAUUAAAAACACAUCACUCUUCUGACACUGGAUCCUCCAGCCUGUGCUCCACGGGAAGACUUUGCUGCAGAGGCUUGAAGGAGAAUGCUUACAGGUUUAUCUUCAGUACCCAAAUAAAAUCUGGAUGGAUCUGGCUUGCCAAGAAGCAAGCUGCCAUGCGUUCUACAGCUGCAAGGAAAUUACUUCUGUCAACAACCCAAGGGAGCUUGGCAAUAGAAAUCUUUCCGUGUUGAGUUCACUGAUGAGACAAAGCCCAGGUCAACAUCAUGAUUUCAGCUCGAAGAUAAAGCUAGGAGGCAGAGACUCACAGCAAUGCACCCAGAUCAUAUUAAACAAAGGAUCGGCGUCGCCAUGA
rnacentral:lncRNA from 1 species